ACCUGAGGGAUAGCUCAGGUGGUAGAGCAUGAGACUCAUGAGAUCUCAGCGUCAUGGGUUCGAGCCCCACCUUGGGUG